rnacentral:misc_RNA from 1 species
AAGUCGUAACAAGGUCUCCGUUGGUGAACCAGCGGAGGGAUCAUUACAGAGUUGCAAAACUCCCAACCCUUUGUGAAUCAACUGGACAGUUGCCUCGGCGGGAGGCCCUUCAGGGGGCUGCCCGCCGGAGGACCACUAAACUCUUGUAUAUUUGGCCUCUCUGAGUAAUUCUAAAAUGAAUCAAAACUUUCAACAACGGAUCUCUUGGUUCUG